UUAUAUCAGUUAUAGUUUAUUUGAUGGUCCUUACUACUUGGAUAACCGUAGUAAUUCUAGAGCUAAUACAUGCACAGAUCCCCAACUCACGGCGGGGAGUAUUUAUUAGAUGGAAACCAAAGCGGGGAAACCCGGAACCUGGUGAUUCAUAAUAACUUUCGGAUCGGCUUGCCGAUGCAUCAUUCAAGUUUCUGCCCUAUCAGCUUUGGAUGGUAGGGUAUUGGCCUACCAUGGCUUUAACGGGUAACGGAGAAUUAGGGUUCGAUUCCGGAGAGGGAGCCUGAGAAAUGGCUACCACAUCCAAGGAAGGCAGCAGGCGCGUAAAUUACCCAAUCCUAACACAGGGAGGUAGUGACAAUAAAUAACAAUGCCGGGCUUUUAAAAGUCUGGCAAUUGGAAUGAGAACAAUUUAAAUCCCUUAUCGAGGAUCAAUUGGAGGG
rnacentral:rRNA from 1 species